rnacentral:rRNA from 1 species
UACGUAGGGGGCAAGCGUUGUCCGGAUUUAUUGGGCGUAAAGAGCGUGUAGGCGGCCAGACAGGUCCGUUGUGAAAACUCGAGGCUCAACCUCGAGAGGUCAUCGGAAACCAUCUGGCUAGAGUCCGGAAGAGGAGAGUGGAAUUCCCGGUGUAGCGGUGAAAUGCGCAGAUAUCGGGAAGAACACCUAUGGCGAAGGCAGCUCUCUGGGACGGUACUGACGCUGAGACGCGAAAGCGUGGGGAGCGAACAGG